UGAGGAAUUUUCCGCAAUGGGCGAAAGCCUGACGGAGCAAUACCGCGUGAGGGAUGAAGGAUUUUGGUCUGUAAACCUCUUUUCUCAAGAAAGAAGUUCUGACGGUACUUGAGGAAUAAGCCACGGCUAAUUCCGUGCCAGCAGCCGCGGUAAUACGGGAGUGGCAAGCGUUAUCCGGAAUUAUUGGGCGUAAAGCGUCCGCAGGCGGCCCUUCAAGUCUGCUGUUAAAAAGUGGAGCUUAACUCCAUCAUGGCAGUGGAAACUGUUGGGCUUGAGUGUGGUAGGGGCAGAGGGAAUUCCCGGUGUAGCGGUGAAAUGCGUAGAUAUCGGGAAGAACACCAGUGGCGAAGGCGCUCUGCUGGGCCAUCACUGACGCUCAUGGACGAAAGCCAGGGGAGCGAAAGGG
rnacentral:rRNA from 1 species